rnacentral:rRNA from 1 species
GAGCUUGCUCUCUGGGUGGCGAGUGGCGGACGGGUGAGGAAUACAUCGGAAUCUACUUUUUCGUGGGGGAUAACGUAGGGAAACUUACGCUAAUACCGCAUACGACCUACGGGUGAAAGCAGGGGACCUUCGGGCCUUGCGCGAUUGAAUGAGCCGAUGUCGGAUUAGCUAGUUGGCGGGGUAAAGGCCCACCAAGGCGACGAUCCGUAGCUGGUCUGAGAGGAUGAUCAGCCACACUGGAACUGAGACACGGUCCAGACUCCUACGGGAGGCAGCAGUGGGGAAUAUUGGACAAUGGGCGCAAGCCUGAUCCAGCCAUACCGCGUGGGUGAAGAAGGCCUUCGGGUUGUAAAGCCCUUUUGUUGGGAAAGAAAUCCAGCCGGCUAAUACCUGGUUGGGAUGACGGUACCCAAAGAAUAAGCACCGGCUAACUUCGUGCCAGCAGCCGCGGUAAUACGAAGGGUGCAAGCGUUACUCGGAAUUACUGGGCGUAAAGCGUGCGUAGGUGGUUGUUUAAGUCUGUUGUGAAAGCCCUGGGCUCAACCUGGGAACUGCAGUGGAAACUGGACAACUAGAGUGUGGUAGAGGGUAGCGGAAUUCCCGGUGUAGCAGUGAAAUGCGUAGAGAUCGGGAGGAACAUCCAUGGCGAAGGCAGCUACCUGGACCAACACUGACACUGAGGCA